rnacentral:lncRNA from 1 species
CUUUAGAAAUAAUCAGAAACAUCGGUUGUUUUUUUAAAAUAAGAGAUGAUAUAUAUAGAGAGAGAAAAAAUACACUGUGAAAUAAACUAGAGAAUUAACUACAACGGUUACUAUCGUUUUGUUCUAUUUAAAGUUACAACGACGUAAUUUGAAAAGUUAAAAUAGCAAACGUUCGACGAAAAGGCCUCAAAUUCGCAGCAAGUUAAAUCGCAAAAAAAUACGCAAAAUCUUAUCAUCAACACGUAGCUGACUUGUGGAAGAGAAGAUACAAGACAUGUUUCAUUCUGCAACAACGUUGAUCUCGACAAGACGCAUAAUGGACUAUCCGUCGAGGAUCAAUUUAUUAAGUGGCCACUGACGUUCAUACGAUCGUCCCAACGUUAUUACUUUACUUGCGUCACUAUGCGCCACAUGGAAAUACACUUUGCACUAUAAAAAAAAAAAAAGAACGGAAGUUGGUCGUCAUGCAAGAGAUCGACAAGAGAAUAUCGAUCCUGACAAGACGUUGCUCGUGAUCCAUGAUAAUAUUCAAUCGUUGUCAUUGAUGUUAUUGAAGAAAAAGAAGACUAAUUGUAAGAAGAAGAAGAUGGCCAUGCACAUACUCAAUAUGGUCAAAGCUGAAGAAGAGAGUCAUUUGAUUUGAAUCUUGCUACGAUAUUACCGCAUACGGAAUGCGGUCAGAAAUAUUCCGCAUGGAUAAUUCAUCACUGUUUUCCUGUUGAAGAAUAUGCCGAAGGAUUUAUAUAAUUACAUCAUACGUCUCUUUGGAUGAUUUCAUUUUCGAAAUAUAUCUCAUAGAUCUUUUUCAAAUCUAAGAAUAAGAGAAAUAAAUCAAAGGAUGUAAAAACAUUGAUAUCAUUCGCAACAUACAAAAAUAAUGAUUGAAAACCAAAGUUGUGUUUGAAUUACAAUAAAGGUAUCUCUCUUGAUUCAAAAAGCAAUAGAUCUCAUAUUCAACUUUGCUAUUCAAAAGAUAUUCCUUUUUCUACAUUUGUCCUGUGGAAAAUCAAUAAGCGCGCUCGCGCACGAUACUAAUGUAUAUGGUAAGCUAUAAAUACAAAUUGUCAUUCCACGCGAUCGAGUUUCUGUAGCCAACAGAGAAGUUGUUCCUUUGAAUUCCCUUUCGUUGAAGACAUCCUUCAAAAUGGCAUAGAUAGCGUUAUAUCUACAGAGUUACGUGUCUAUACAAGGGAACCGAGUUACGUUAUACUUUGAUCGAUCCCACGUGAAUAUCAUCGAACCUUUUCAUUAAUAUUAUUAUUUGUCUUUCUAUUUUUUUGGUUACUGUCAUUCCCAAUUAAAUAGAUUUUAUUUACAAUUUCUUUUAUACUCUUCUAAUUGAAAUGAACCAAAUUUUCCAUUGGAUAUAUACAUUACGUGUGGGUGUCGAGACAAUUCAUAUAGGUAACCUCGUAAAAUAAUUUCGAAUGAAAUCGCUUGAAAUAAUAAUCAAACGAAGCAGCUCGUAUUCUCAAACGGUGAAGAAAAACAAAGAAAUCAUGCUUAUCGUAACAAGAUCGGAAUAGCGUAAACGAAAUAAUGAAUUUAUCUAUGUGGAAGUAUAUCUUGUGACGUAAGGAGUAAAAAAGACGAGACAACUGUUCAGAGAUUUGAAGUAUCUCUUGAAAUUAACGUCAGAGCUUCGUCGGAGUUCAUCAUCUAUUUACAUACACCUGUUUGGCCAUUAAUUCAUUAUACCUAAGAUCAUA